rnacentral:lncRNA from 13 species
ACCAUGGUGUCUUUUGAUACAGGGAUAUUCCUGCACUGAGCUUUGAGUCUGCUUGUUAUGAGCGGUAAUUGCCUCUACUUUAUUUGGUGUUAUAUAUAUAUAUAUAUAUAAUGAUGAUCUUAUAGGACCAAAACAGAAAUAAAACAGCCUAAAUGAGUAGCUAAUGCAGUAUGUAUGCCUUUUCCAUAAAAUGUCUUCCCUACAUACAAAUGCCAAUGUUCAGGCCCCAUAAAGUGUCAACAAUGAACUGAAAUGCGUUCUUUUUAAAGCUAAUUCACCCAAACCUAAACUAAGAAUACUUUGGUGUUCAGCGACUUUUUAGGCUGGAAUCCAAACUUGAGAUCUGUGCGCCAAAGCUUGACACGUACAGAUCGAAAGUUUAGAAUUCGGCCCUCACGUGCUAGAUUUAGUUCAAACCAAAGGAGCAAGAAGAAGACAACAUUUUGUGUGCUGUUUCACUGACGUUGAUGUUUGUGCUGUUUUUCCCCCACAAUGAUGUUUCCUGUGGUGGCUGAGAGCGAGACAAGAGUCCAGCACUUCCUUCUCCAGGCCGGGCUCCCCUUUCAGAGAGACAAGACCUCCACAAGGCCACUUAUCAAGGUGCCGCCCUUUUAGAGAAGAGUCUCGCAAGGAACCUCCUCUGGACAAAGGUUUCUGUUCUGGAGAGAGUUACUGUAUUUGUAAAGGUGGACUCAUCAAUAUGACAACAUCAUACAAAGCGGGGGAAAUUCCUGCAUACAGAAAUCAACAACAGCAUUCAAAUCUUCUGAGACUGACGCAAAUUAGGAAGAGGCAAAUGUCGCAGUCUUGGCAGAUUUUUAUUCCAUCGUUGAUGUCUAAGCAGGAAGACGGAGGCAUUGUAUGAUGAUGCCAUUUUGCUAAGUCAAUUAUUAGUAGACAUGUCAUGACCUGACAUUUUUCAAAUAUGUUAUCAGUAACUACUUCAGUUAUUAUGAGUCGUUAUUAGACACGUUGUUACCGUAAUGAGUCAGUGUUAGACACGUUGUUUCCGUAAUGAGUCGGCGUUAGACACGUUGUUUCCGUAAUGAGUCGGCGUUAGACACGUUGUUUCCGUAAUGAGUCGGCAUUAGACACGUUGUUUGCGUAAUGAGUCGGCGUUAGACACGUUGUUUCCGUAAUGAGUCGGCGUUAGACACGUUGUUUCCGUAAUGAGUCGGCGUUAGACACGUUGUUUCCGUAAUGAGUCGGCGUUAGACACGUUGUUACCGUAAUGAGUCGGCGUUAGACACGUUG